GUGCUCCACCCUUGAGCGGAUGACCCUCCCAGUCCUUUUUAUUAGUGGGACGGGGUCUCACUGAGUUGCCAAGGCUGGCCUCAAAAUCGCCAUCCUCCUGCCUCAGCCUCCCUACUGGCUGGGCUUGUGGGCGGGCACCACCACACCCAGCUCUUUUAACCAUUUUGAAGUGUGCAGUUUUGUGGCGUAGAGUCCAUGAGGUGUUGUGUAACCAUCUCCGCCACCCAUCUCCAGAACCUUCUCACCCUCCCCAACAGAAACUGUCCCCAUUAGACACUCCCCAUCCUCCCCCAUCCCCUGGCACCUACUUUUUUCCUCUGUGAAUUUGAGCUCUCUAGGAACCUCCUGUGAGUGGAAUCGGUCAUGGUGUGUGUCCUUUUGUGACUGGCUAAGUUCAGUGCAUAAUGUGCUAAAGGUUCAUUUAUGUCCUCAGGAUUUCUUUCCUUCUCAUGGCUGUAUAGUACUCCACCACACAGCACACCACAUUCUGUUUACCUGCUUAUUUGUUGAUGGACACCUGACUGCUUCCCGCCUCUGGCUGU
rnacentral:lncRNA from 1 species